CUGGGCACACAACAGUGUUGAGCGUGCACCAUAAACUCGGAAGAACUCCAGCUACCACAACUUGAGACAUCUGGUUUAGACCUCCCUUUUUCGGAAGCUGAAGUUUGGAAUGCCAUCAAGCUGUUACCGCCUGAUCGCUCCCCUGGCCACGAUGGCUUCUCCGGUGUAUUUUACAGGCGAUGCUGGCACAUCAUAAAAGCCGACCUUCUGCAGGCUCUACAUAAAUUCCAUGAUCUGAACGGCGGUGCCAACUUCCAAUGUCUCAAUGCAGCAAUGGUGGUGCUCAUUCAUAAGACAGCUGACCCAACUGAUGUUGGGCAGUUCCGACCAAUUAGCUUAGUGCAUUACUUUGCAAAGCUCAUCGCCAAGAUCCUAUCAUGUGCCUUGCCCCAAAGCCUGGUAGUUUAA
rnacentral:rRNA from 1 species